GACGAACGCUGGCGGCGUGCCUAACACAUGCAAGUCGAGCGGGGUAGCCGGAAGGUGUAGCGAUACAGCGGAAGGGUACCUAGCGGCGAACGGGUGAGUAACGCGUGGGCAAUCUGCCCCCGGGGGCGGGAUAACAGACCGAAAGGCCUGCUAAUACCGCAUGAAGCCGUCCUAUCGCAUGAUAAGACGGUAAAAGGGGAAACCCGCCUGGGGAGGAGCCCGCGUCCCAUUAGCUAGUUGGUGGUGUAAAGGACCACCAAGGCGAUGAUGGGUAGCCGGCCUGAGAGGGUGAACGGCCACAUUGGGACUGAGACACGGCCCAGACUCCUACGGGGGGCAGCAGUGAGGGAUUUUCGGCAAUGGGCGAAAGCCUGACCGAGCGACGCCGCGUGAGCGAAGAAGGCCUUCGGUCGUAAAGACUCUGUCUAGGGGAAGGAAGUAAGGACGGCGACCUCUCGGAGGAAGGCCACGGCGAACUUACGUGCCACGCAGCCGCGGUAACUAAGUCUACG
rnacentral:rRNA from 1 species